AGUUUCAAUUGGUUAGACACAUGGGAAGCUUUUUCAAAGCUAAAACCAUCAGUAUCUGUAAAAGCAUUUGGAUCAGCUUGGGCCAUCUCUUUGCUUUCUUCACACCUGGGCAAGCUCAGUGACCAGCUCUAAGAUCAAUGAGAAAUAUUCCUUGGGCCAUUGACCUUUUGUUCAUUCUUUUUCUAGGUGUAUCUCCAGCCUUGUAAAGAACUAGCUUAGGAUUCCAGAAAUCAGUAUUCAGACUGAAAUCUUGGGACCAGAAUAACAUCAAAGCCAAAAUGCAAGUGUCAAUCCCCUCUGGAAUUUCCUUGAAAUCAGCUGCUGGGAGAACACACCAGAGGCCACAUGCAUGGCUACUGAGGGUGAAAGUGGCAUUACCACCAGAAAUGGAUUUUCAAACAACCAAUUCAGCUAGACUCCCCAAGAGGAUCAAGAGAAACAGACUGAAGCCCAGAGGGACUUGGAAGCUGACAGACUGGUGCAGUUUUUCAAGCUGACCAUGGCCAACCUUUGCCUGCAACAAGGUCUCUCCCUGCUUGGGGACUAGAGGGCAUGGAUCUGCAGAGAAGAGUCUAACAGCGAUGAUGGAUGGCUGCACUCCAUUGCUAACAUUUAAACAAAAUGCAUUUCCACACAUGGGAAAAAUUGGAGUUUGACCUCGUUUCUGACUCCUUUGGAAAUGCAGCUGUGGAUGCAAGAUGAUUUUCACUAUCUUGGUAAUAAAUAAAUAAAGUCCUUAAAGUUAUCA
rnacentral:lncRNA from 1 species